rnacentral:rRNA from 1 species
AUUGAACGCUGGCGGCAUGCUUUACACAUGCAAGUCGAACGGUAACAGGCCGCUAGGUGCUGACGAGUGGCGAACGGGUGAGUAAUGCAUCGGAACGUGCCCAGCCGUGGGGGAUAACUACUCGACAGAGUAGCUAAUACCGCAUACGAUCUAUGGAUGAAAGCGGGGGACCGUAAGGCCUCGCGCGAUUUUAGCGGCCGCUGUCAGAUUAGGUAGUUGGUGGGGUAAAGGCUCACCAAGCCAACGAUCUGUAGCUGGUCUGAGAGGACAACCAGCCACACUGGGACUGAGACACGGCCCAGACUCCUACGGGAGGCAGCAGUGGGGAAUUUUGGACAAUGGGCGCAAGCCUGAUCCAGCAAUGCCGCGUGCAGGAAGAAGGCCUUCGGGUUGUAAAGUGCUUUUGUACGGAACGAAACGGCUCUGGUUAAUACCCGGGGCUAAUGACGGUACCGUAAGAAUAAGCACCGGCUAACUACGUG